UUUCCCCUCAGAUCUCCCUGACCGGUGACAAAUCUGGUUUUCACUGGGGAUUAUACUGGGUUGAUUCCAAUAGUAUGUUCCUGCACAACCGGAGGCUGCAGUUUCAGGACCGCAGUUCUAGGACCGCAGUUCUAGGACCCUAUUCUUUUGUAACAGCACCACCUGUCGAAUUGGAUCACUAAAGAUGGACGACAUGGACAGCAAUCAGAGCAUGGUCAGCGGUUUGCCUUCUGGACUGAUGAGGCCAGAAUCCUGCUCCAAGGAACUCUUCAGCCAGUGUACAGAGUGCUAUCUCAGAGGAAAUCCACAUUCAGGCUGUCGAUGACCACACUGCAGAGGAGUUGAAGCCUACAGCCUUUCUGUCCAUGCAGCAUCUGAUGGAAAAGG